rnacentral:rRNA from 1 species
CCUACGGGAGGCAGCAGUAGGGAAUUUUCGUCAAUGGGCGCAAGCCUGAACGAGCGAUGCCGCGUGAGUGAAGAAGGCCUUCGGGUCGUAAAGCUCUGUUGCGGGGGAAAAAAGGCAGCCUCAGGAAAUGGGUGCUGACUGAUGGUGCCCCGCCAGAAAGUCACGGCUAACUACGUGCAAGCAGCCGCGGUAAUCCGUAGGUGGCGAGCGGUAUCCGGAAGGAUUGGGCGUAAAGUGUGCGCAGGCGGUCCUGCAAGUCUGGAGUGAAACGCAUGAGCUCAACUCAUGCAUGGCUUUGGAAGCGUGAGGACUGGAGAGCAGGAGAGGGCGGUGGAACUCCAUGUGUAGCGGUAAAAGGCGUAGAUAUAUGGAAGAACACCAGUGGCGAAGGCGGCCGCCUGGCCUGUUGCUGACGCUGAGGCACGAAAGCGUGGGGAGCAAAUAGGAUUAGAUACCCCAGUAGUC